rnacentral:rRNA from 1 species
AUUGAACGCUGGCGGCAUGCUUUACACAUGCAAGUCGGACGAGUGGCGAACGGGUGAGUAAUAUAUUGGAACGUAACGAGUAAUGGGGGAUAACCAAUCGAAAGAUUGGCUAAUACAGAAUAUUAAUCGAGCGGCCAAUAUCUGAAUAGCUAGUUGGUGGGGUAAAGGCCUACAAAGGCGACGAUCAGUAGCGGUCCUGAGAGGAUGAUCCGCCGCACUGGGACUGAGACCCGGCCCAGACUCCUACGGGAGGCAGCAGUGGGUGAUUUGGUACAAUGGGCGCACGCCUGAUCCAGCCAUGCCGCGUGUCUGAAGAAGGCAUUCGGGUUGUAAAGGACUUUUGUUAUGGAAGCGGUACCUAAAGAAUAAGCACCGGCUAACUACGUGCCAGCGGCCGCGGUAAUAC